rnacentral:rRNA from 1 species
CACGUAGGGAGCAAGCGUUGUCCGGAUUUAUUGGGCGUAAAGAGCUCGUAGGUGGUUCGGUAAGUCGGGUGUGAAAACUCUGGGCUCAACUCAGAGACGCCACCCGAUACUGCUGUGACUUGAGUCUGGUAGGGGAGUGUGGAAUUCCCAGUGUAGCGGUGAAAUGCGCAGAUAUUGGGAAGAACACCAGUGGCGAAGGCGGCACUCUGGGCCAGUACUGACACUGAGGAGCGAAAGCGUGGGUAGCGAACAGG